rnacentral:rRNA from 1 species
UACGGAGGGAGCUAGCGUUGUUCGGAAUUACUGGGCGUAGAGCGUGCGCAGGCGGUGACUCAAGUCAGAUGUGAAAUCCCCGGGCUUAACCUGGGAACUGCAUUUGAAACUAGGUCGCUAGAGUGUAGCAGAGGGGGGUAGAAUUCCACGUGUAGCAGUGAAAUGCGUAGAGAUGUGGAGGAAUACCGAUGGCGAAGGCAGCCCCCUGGGUUAACACUGACGCUCAUGCACGAAAGCGUGGGGAGCAAACAGGAUUAGAAA